UACGUAGGGGGCUAGCGUUAUCCGGAAUUACUGGGCGUAAAGGGUGCGUAAGUGGUUUCUUAAGUCAGAGGUGAAAGGCUACGGCUCAACCGUAGUAAGCCUUUGAAACUGGGGAACUUGAGUGCAGGAGAGGAGAGUGGAAUUCCUAGUGUAGCAGUGAAAUGCGUAGAUAUUAGGAGGAACACCAGUUGCGAAGGCGGCUCACUGGACUGUAACUGACACUGAGGCACGAAAGCGUGGGGAGCAAACAGG
rnacentral:rRNA from 1 species